rnacentral:misc_RNA from 1 species
CCGAGUGCGGGCCCUCUCUGGGUCCAACCUCCCACCCGUGUCUACUUAUACCCUUGUUGCUUCGGCAGGCCUUCAAUGCCUGCCGGAGACACCAAACUGAACACUUUAUAUGAAGAUUGCUGUCUGAGUGGAUUGAUCAAAUCAUUA